ensembl:lncRNA leucine-rich repeat flightless-interacting protein 2-like
CUUCAUACUCGCUGUUUAUUAUCUAUGCAUAGUCACUUCACCCCUACCUACAUGUACAAAUGACCUCGACUAACCUGUACCCUCACACAUUGACUGGGGAACCGGUACCCCCUGUAUAUAGCUUCGUUAUUGUUAUUUUAUUGUGUUACUUUUUAUAAAUUUUUACUUUACUUUGUAAAUAUUUUAUAAACUCUUUCUUGAACUGCACUGUUGGUUAAGGGCUUGUAAGUAAGCAUUUCACGGUAAGGUCUACACUUGUUGUAUUCGGCGCAUGUGACAAAUAAAGUUUGAUUUUAUAAUAUGGUCUGAGGAGAAGAAUAUUGGCACGCCAGGCAUAUAGCCAAUAUGCUGUGAUAAUGUAUUAGGCCUACUGCACAAACCUCAUUCCUACAGAACUGUUUUGAUUAGGUUACUGUUACAUUUUCAUGUUUGAGCGGUAGAUAUCGGCUUGCUUUUUGACUGCACACACCCGAGUCAUGUUUUGUGUGGUGUGGAUGAAGAUAUCGCGACAGAAUGAACUGGCUCCCUGAUUGUGGGCGAAGGUUAACAAAACUGUAACGUGGGCGGAACCUGUUUGUCUCUGUGUUGCCUUUAGGGUUGCCUCCCGAACGUUUUCUGAGUCAAGAUAACUUUCGCAGUCUGCACUCAUUUAAUCUAGUUGUUAAGAACAGUAUUAAUAUUUUUUUUGCGUAUCGUAGGCUACUAGAAAAAUGCAUUCCGGGACAUUGGAAAGAGCUGGGUCACCGAGGAAAAGGACGCUUUCUCGGGGAGUGAGCGAGGAUGAGUCACUUCGCAACAUUAUCAAGGAGACGGAGAGUUCGACCAGGCGUCUGACGCACAGUGACAGCAGAGGGGGGACCCUCAAGAGGAGAAGUGGGAGUCAGCAGUCUGAGGAAGAUCAGGAACUGAUGGAACUCCCUGAGAUGAAUGACCUGCAGGCGAGCUACGACGAUGUGUUGCAGGAGCUGCGUGGGCUGGAGCUGCAGCGGGAGACUCUGUUAUUCCAGGUGGACAUUUUGCAGGACACCCUGGAGGGGGCCGAGGAGAUGCUGGCCGAGGCCCAGAGAGAGGCCAGCCACGCCACCAUGGAGUUGGAGCGCGAGAGAGAGGCUAAGAGGAAGUUGGAGGACAUUGUCAGCUCUCUGAUGCAGGAGGUGGAGAGGCUAAAAGAGGAGAGGAACACCAUAUCAGCAGUCCCAGUGUACACACUUGUCAAGGAGCAGGAGAGGGAAGAUGAGAUGGCUAGACAACAAGCCCAAGAGAUGAAAAUCAAAAAGGAAGCACAGGAACAAAUCAGGGAUGCACCAAGGGAUGAGGACAAUUCUCGGCAAGAUGCGCCUCUCUCUAUUAUCCGAUUGGACAGUGAGAGCCCCGGGCCCAACAACGGGCUAUCAUCUGAGACCAGCACUGCGGGGCUGCUCGCUUCCUUCUUCAAAAAGGGGAGGGGGGAGCAGCCGUCUGACAGUCCGACCCGGCCCUCUCCUCUCCACGUUGCCCGGCUGGUGUCCUCUGAGGACGUAGCAGAUGGGGCACAGGACAGCUUCACCAAGUUCACAAAGAUAGUCAGCAAGACCUUUGGGCCAUUGGCACUGGGUAGCCAGACCCCCGGGAGCAAUCAGGAGGAGAACGGGCGUGACCUCUCCCCCGACAGGAACAAUGACACGGACAGCAUCAGCGCCUACGAAGACGCCUGCGCUGACAUGCCCGAGCUGGAAGAGGGUGACGGGCCAAAGCUGCCCCAUGAUGAAGGCUCCCCAGUAGAUGAUGAGGGAGAUCCGUCGAAUGGCAACGAACCCAAGAGCAUCAAAAACCCCAAUGAAUCUUGCAUUCUGUCGUAAGAGCUGCAGAACUAUUGUGCUACGAAGGAUCAAAUCUUCUCUGAGAUCACUGCUCUCGCUCCGUCUGCCUCUUGUAUAUGCCAUUUAGCAGAUGCUUUUAUCCGAAGCGGCUUACGUGCAUCCAUUUUUUUAUUACGUCUUAUGUUCUUGGACCUGUACUCUCCAUUUACACCUAUAGAAGGGUAGAGUCAAUAUUGGGAGUUGUCUUAAUGCUACCAGGCAGGGUGGAAUUCCAGUCAUGUCUACAGACUACUCUAAAGCCAAUCUCUCCCUCAGCAUGUUUGGCACGACUUGCAAGGUUGCACUUACGUGUUCUUUUUGUUGUUGUUUUUUUCCCUGCUCUUUGGCACAAAAGGCAAAUGACCUCCCUCUGUUUCUUAGUGACUGAUAAUCACACAGGACUGUUUGCGUACACUGAACAAUCAGAUAUGUCAGACCUCUUGCAUUCUAAACAGGCAAACUACGUGAUUCGUAGAUUAAGACGAUUCUAGUUGUUUUUAUGCUCUCAUAAGUUUAGACGCUGGCAAGAUUGUAAUCACAAUAGCAGGCAGCCAAGGAGCUAGCUGCUAUAUAUUUGAAUAAUUCCAUUUAUGGGUAUAAAACCAUAAUGUUUUCACUGCCUUACUGGCCUUCACAGGGACAUUUAAUUUGAUCUACAAGAAGGACUUGGUGCCUUUCCUGGCUCACCUUAAUGCAUUUUAUGAAUAAGGAAGAUUAACCUGAAAGAUGUAAUACAUUUACUGAAUUUAAUCAAGCUUUAGUACAAUACUAGCAUGAUUGAAAAAGUAACGACAUUCCAUUUAAUAGUAAAACUUUAAGGAUACCUGAUAAUAAUGUAUAUGUACAGUAACAGUACUGCAUGCUACUUGUCAGGUCGUGUUUGCACAGUUGCAGUGAAACUACUGAAUUGGUAGACCUUACAUGUUAUUUUGUAUCUGGCAUUGCUGGACAAUGUAUCCUUUGUUUUUCUUCUCUCUACCCAUAACCAUUAACACAAAAUCUGAGGAUAAUCUUUUGACUUGGAAAGAGUUACAUAAACAUUGCUACCUAUUAAUCUUCUUAGGAGAUUUUUGCAUAGUCCCAAAGGCACCUUAUUCCCUUUUUAGUGCAUUGCUUUUGACCAGGGCAAUAUAAAGGGAAUAGGGUGUAAUUUGGGACGCAUCCUUUAUCAACAUUCCUGUCCAUGUUUGACAGUAGCGAGGUCAAAUGGAAUUGAUCUGUUUUCCAAUCCUCACCUUUUUGAACAUUUUCAACAGAUACUGCGUUUGUAAUGAACUUGGGGGCAAAUCUUACAAUGCCUUCAACACUAGAUUUUGUGUGUUAGACGUUGUGUAUCUCAAGUCAGAAUGCAGCUCUUAGUAGUAGGGGUUAAAUGGAUGUCAAGUUCGAAAGCAGCACACUGAAAUAAUUCCUAACUUUGAUACUUGUGAUUUGUGUUUUCUAUUCUGUUUCUAUUGCCUGAAUUUCUGUUUCUGCGGGAGAUAGUCUUCAGAAAGUAUUCACACACCUUGACUUUUUCCACAUUUUGUUGUUACAAAGUGGAAUGGAUUUAAUUGUAAUUUGUUAACGAUCUACACAAAAUACUCUGUCAAAGUGGGAAAAAAUAACAUUGUAUUACUAGAAAAUAAAACACUAAAAUAUCUCAUUUAUGUAAGUAUUCAACUCCCUGAGUCAAUACAUGUUAGAAUCACCUUUGGCAGCAAUUACAGCUGUGAGUUUCUGGGUAAGCCUCUAAGAGAUUUGCACACCUGGAUUGUACAAUAUUUGCACAUUAUUCUUUAAAAAAAUUAUUCAAGCUCUGUCAAGUUGGUUGUUGAUCAUUGCUGUACAGUCAUUUUUAAGUCUUGCCAUAGACUUUCAAGACGAUUUAAGUCAAAACUGUAACCAAGCCACUCAGGAACAUUCAAUGUUAUUUUGGUAAGCAAUUCCCAUGUAUAUUUGGCCUUGUGUUUUAGGUAAUUGUCCUGCUGAAAGGUGAAUUUGCCUCCCAGUGUCUGUUGGAAAGCAGACUGAACCAGGUUUUCCUGGAGGAUUUUGCCUGUGCUUAGCUCUAUUCCGUUUAUUUUAUAUCCCCCAAAAACUCCCUAGUUUGUCCUGUACAGGCUAUCUUCUUUCCACUUUGUCAUUUAUGUUAGUAUUGUGGAGUAACUACAAUGUUGUUGAUCCAUCCUCAGUUAUCUCCUAUCACAGCCAUUAAACUCUGUCACUGUUUUAAAAUCACCAAUGGCCUCAUGGUGAAAUCCCUGAGCGGUUUCCUUACUUUCCUUAGGAAGAGCGACUGUACUUUUUUGUAGUGACUGGGUGUAUUGAUACACCAUCCAAAGUGUAAUAACUGCACCAUGCUCAAAGGGAUAUUCAAUGUCUGCUUUUUUACCCAUCUACCAACAGGUGCCCUUUGCGAACCAUUGGAAAACCUCCCUGGUCUUUGUGGUUGAAUCUGUGCUUCUAAUGAAUUGCUUGACUGAGCAACCUUAGAUAAUUGUAUGUGUGGGGUACAGAGAUGGGGUAGUCAUUUUAAAAAUCAUGUUGAACACUAUUAUUGCAAACAGAGUGAGUCCAUGCAACUUAUUAUCUGACUUGUUAAGCACAUUUUUAGUCCUGAACUUAUUUAGGCUUGCCAUAACGAAAGGGUUGAAUAAUUAUUGACUCGACAUUUCAGCUUUUCAUUUUUAAUUCAUUUGUAAAAAUGUCUAAAAACAUAAUUCCAAAUUGACAUUAUGGGGUAUUGUGUGUGUAGAUCAGUGACACAAUCUCAAUUUAAUCCAUUUGAAAUUCAGGCUGUAACGCAACAAAAUGUGGAAAAAGUCAAUGUGUAUGAAUACUUUCUGAAGGCACUGUGUGUACUUUACUCGGGAGGUUUCUAAACGUGCAAUACUACCUGUUAUGUUGAUGAACGGUUAUGUGUCUUAUCUAUAAUGCUCCUUGAUGUCACAAUUUAUCUUGAACAUUUAGGUAUUUUUUUCUGAAAGCAACUGUGUCUUUGAUAUAAAAGUUGUUUUUCAGCAGAGUCUUGGCACAAAGUGUGUUAUUUCAGCAUGCUUCUGCUAAUGUAAGUUUGCACUAGUUUUGUGAUUUGCACUUCCAAACAGGGUUUGCUGCAUCAUAGUAUGUUCUAAAAUGGCAACAAAAAAAUAUGGGGAAAACGUAUGUUCCUGAGUGGUAAUGCUUAUGCUUUAUCAUAUUUUCAUCAAAUAGUUAAGAUAAGAAAGUAUGUAUUUUUUGAAUGAAUUCUAUUCUUUUAAAGAAUAAAUAUUUUGUACAGCGCCACGUGUUUCUAUUUCAUCUUACAUUGUUUUCUGUUGUCACGUUAAAUAAUGAUUUAUUAUCAAACUACACAUGAAUAGAAAAUACAAACAACAAGUAAAGGAUUCAAUAAGAAAGGCAUUUAAUUUGUAAACAUACAAGACAUUUGGACUGCAAUACAGGAUAUGCAUUCAUGGGCCAAUGCACAUUGUGAUAAAAAGCUUGAUAAAACAAGACUUGAAAUGAAAUCCAGUGGCCAUAUAGUGCUU